rnacentral:rRNA from 1 species
UACAGAGGGUGCGAGCGUUGUCCGGAAUCACUGGGCGUAAAGGGCGCGUAGGCGGCUGAUUUAGUCGAGGGUGAAAGCCCGUGGCUCAACCACGGAAUGGCCUUCGAUACUGGUUGGCUUGAGACCGGAAGAGGACAGCGGAACUGCGAGUGUAGAGGUGAAAUUCGUAGAUAUUCGCAAGAACACCAGUGGCGAAGGCGGCUCACUGGCCCGAUACUGACGCUGAGGCACGAAAGCGUGGGGAGCAAACAGG